AUGAUAUAUUUCUAAACUU
rnacentral:snRNA from 1 species